rnacentral:rRNA from 1 species
AGUCGAGCGAGCGGAACUAACAGAUUUACUUCGGUAAUGACGUUAGGAAAGCGAGCGGCGGAUGGGUGAGUAACACGUGGGGAACCUGCCCCAUAGUCUGGGAUACCACUUGGAAACAGGUGCUAAUACCGGAUAAGAAAGCAGAUCGCAUGAUCAGCUUUCAAAAGGCGGCGUAAGCUGUCGCUAUGGGAUGGCCCCGCGGUGCAUUAGCUAGUUGGUAAGGUAGAGGCUUACCAAGGCGAUGAUGCAUAGCCGAGUUGAGAGACCGAUCGGCCACAUUGGGACUGAGACACGGCCCAAACUCCUACGGGAGGCAGCAGUAGGGAAUCUUCCACAAUGGACGCAAGUCUGAUGGAGCAACGCCGCGUGAGUGAAGAAGGUUUUCGGAUCGUAAAGCUCUGUUGUUGGUGAAGAAGGAUAGAGGUAGUAACUGGCCUUUAUUUGACGGUAAUCAACCAGAAAGUCACGGCUAACUACGUGCCAGCAGCCGCGGUAAUACGUAGGUGGCAAGCGUUGUCCGGAUUUAUUGGGCGUAAAGCGAGCGCAGGCGGAAGAAUAAGUCUGAUGUGAAAGCCCUCGGCUUAACCGAGGAACUGCAUCGGAAACUGUUUUUCUUGAGUGCAGAAGAGGAGAGUGGAACUCCAUGUGUAGCGGUGGAAUGCGUAGAUAUAUGGAAGAACACCAGUGGCGAAGGCGGCUCUCUGGUCUGCAACUGACGCUGAGGCUCGAAAGCAUGGGUAGUGAACAGGAUUAGAUACCCUGGUAGUCCAUGCCGUANACGAUGAGUGCUAAGUGUUGGGAGGUUUCCGCCUCUCAGUGCUGCAGCUAA